rnacentral:rRNA from 1 species
AUGAUUCGGGAACAUGUUUCCACUUUUCUGCAUGAUAAUCUUGGUAAGCCCAUUGUCUGCUUAGGUGAUUUAAACAACAUCAUGUGUGAUGGGGAUACCACCCCUGCCAAUGUUUAUCACUAUCGUAUGCGUACCUUUAAUGGCUACGUUAAACAAUGUGGUCUCUUUGAUCUUGGUUUUAGUGGGCCUAACUAUACUUGGACAAACAAGCGUUUCUCUUCAACCCCUGUGUUUGAAAGGCUUGACCGCUGUCCUGCAAAUGCCGAAUGGUGUGAUGUGUUUCCUAAUACAAAUGUUUUUAAUCUUCCAAUUAUUCUUAGUGAUCAUGCGCCCAUUCUUGUUUCCACCGAGUCUCAAUUUCUUAGGUCACUCAAUUUUAAAUUUGAAAACUGGCGGACCAUGGAAGAAGACUUCCAAAAUGUCACAAAAUCUGCUUGGUGCUCCUCUAUUAAUCAAUAUUUCUGGUCUAGGACAACUAACCUUGUAGGCACUCUUAAGAAAUGGUGCAAAAAGAAAAAAACCAAUCCAGCAAUAGCUAGCUACACUUCAAGAUCAAAUAAAUGCGAUCCAAAAUCAACCGAUUCAAGACCAAGACCAUUGCUUGGAGGUAAAACUUGUUGCUCAAUAUGA